UACAGAGGUGGCAAGCGUUGUUCGGAAUUACUGGGCGUAAAGGGCGCGUAGGCGGUGUGUCAAGUCAGGCGUGAAAGCCCCGGGCUCAACCUGGGAACAGCGCUUGAGACUGGCACGCUCGAGUUCGGGAGAGGAUGGUGGAAUUCCCGGUGUAGUGGUGAAAUGCGUAGAUAUCGGGAGGAACACCAGUGGCGAAGGCGACUUCCUGGCCUGUUCUUGACGCUGAGGCGCGAAAGCUAGGGUAGCAAACGGG
rnacentral:rRNA from 1 species